UACGGAGGAGGCAAGCGUUAUCCGGAAUUAUUGGGCGUAAAGCGUCCGUAGGUGGCACUUCAAGUCUGCGGUCAAAGACCGGGGCUUAACCCUGGAAAGGCCGUGGAAACUGAAGUGCUAGAGUGCAGUAGGGGUAGAGGGAAUUCCCGGUGUAGCGGUGAAAUGCGUAGAGCUCGGGAAGAACAUCGGUGGCGAAAGCGCUCUACCGGACUGCAACUGACACUGAGGGACGAAAGCUAGGGGAGCGAAUGGG
rnacentral:rRNA from 1 species